rnacentral:piRNA from 1 species
UGGAAACUGAAAUUAGCUACCUAGGCAAGUC